rnacentral:rRNA from 1 species
CCGGAUUAGGCAUGCAAGUCGAACGCUUGUAGCAAUACAGGAGUGGCGAAAGGGUGAGGAACACGUGAGUAACCUACCCCCAAGUUGGGAAUAACACCGGGAAACUGGUGCUAAUACCGAAUGUGGCUGAUGAACCGCAUGGUUUAUCAGCUAAAGAUUUAUCGCUUGGGGAGGGGCUCGCGUCCCAUUAGCUAGUUGGUGAGGUAACGGCUCACCAAGGCAACGAUGGGUAGCUGGUCUGAGAGGAUGGCCAGCCACACUGGGACUGAGACACUGCCCAGACUCCUACGGGAGGCUGCAGUCGAGAAUCUUGGGCAAUGCGCGAAAGCGUGACCCAGCAAUGCCGCGUGCAGGAUGAAGGCCUCCGGGUUGUAAACUGCUGUCACCCGGGACGAAGAAUUGACGGUACCGGGAGAGGAAGCCACGGCUAACUACGUGCCAGCAGCCGCGGUAAUA